rnacentral:rRNA from 1 species
UACGGGGGGUGCGAGCGUUGUCCGGAAUCACUGGGCGUAAAGGGCGCGUAGGUGGUUUGAUAAGGGUGUGGUGAAAGUCCGGGGCUCAACCCCGGAUCUGCCGUGCCGACUGUCAAACUCGAGGACUGUAGAGGCAGACGGAAUUCCGGGUGUAGUGGUGGAAUGCGUAGAGCUCCGGAGGAACACCAGUGGCGAAGGCGGCCGCCUGGGCCAGUCCUGACGCUGAGCCGCGAAAGCGUGGGGAGCGAUCCGG